rnacentral:rRNA from 1 species
AAACGCUUGAAGUCAGACUUGCUUGCCGAGCAAUCGGUUUGCAGGCCAGCAUCAGUUUUCCGGGAUGGAUAAUGGUAGAGAGAAGGUAGCAGUUUCGGCUGUGUUAUAGCUCUCUGCUGGAUACAUCUUGGGGGACUGAGGAACGCAGUGUGCCUUUGGCGGGGGUUUCGACCUCUUCACACUUAGGAUGCUGGUGGAAUGGCUUUAAACGA